UACGUAGGGUGCGAGCGUUGUCCGGAAUUAUUUGGGCGUAAAGAGCUCGUAGGCGGUGUGUCGCGUCGGCCGUGAAAACCUGCAGCUUAACUGUGGGCUUGCGGUCGAUACGGGCAUCACUGGAGUUCGGCAGGGGGAGACUGGAAUUCCUGGUGUAGCGGUGAAAUGCGCAGAUAGUCAGGAGGAACACCGGUGGCGAAGGCGGGUCUCUGGGGCCGAUGACGUGACGCUGAGGAGCGAAAGCGUGGGGAGCGAACAGGAU
rnacentral:rRNA from 1 species